CCAAUAGCGUAUAUUAAAGUUGUUGCAGUUAAAAAGCUCGUAGUUGAACUUCGGGGUCUACCCAUUGGUCAGGCUUAAUUGUCUGUACUGGUGAGAUGGAUCUCUACCUUCUGAGGAACUUUCAUGCCAUUUAUUUGGUGUGGUUGGAAAUCAGGACUGUUACUUUGAAAAAAUUAGAGUGUUUAAAGCAGACUAUCGUCUGAAUACAUUAGCAUGGAAUAAUGAAAUAGGACGGACUGAUUCUAUUUCGUUGGUUUCUAGGAUCACCGUAAUGAUUAAUAGGGAUAGUUGGGGGCAUUAGUAUUCAAUUGUCAGAGGUGAAAUUCUUGGAUUUAUUGAAGACUAACUACUGCGAAAGCAUUUGCCAAGGAUGUUUCCAUUAAUCAAGAACGAAAGUUAGGGGAUCGAAGACAAUCAGAUACUGUCGUAGUCUUAACCAUAAACUAUGCCGACUAGAGAUCAGACAGGCUUAUUUUUUAUGACCUGUUUGGCAUCUUAUG
rnacentral:rRNA from 1 species